rnacentral:tRNA from 4 species
GGUGAAGUGUCCGAGUGGUCGAAGGAGCACGCCUGGAAAGUGUGUAUACAGGAAACUGUAUCAAGGGUUCAAAUCCCUUCUUCACCGCCA